UACACUGAAAUAUCUUCCCAGCUUCUUUCCUCUCCCCGUCUGUGCACGACUCCGGCCGAUCCCUCCGCCUUCCUUUCUUUCCCCUACCCCCAGCGGGGGCUCCGCCCAAACCCACCGCCCCCUUCGCGUCGCCCUGCACCAGCGAUGCGCGGUCCCGGGCACCAUGGCCACCCCAGCACGGGCGGCACCGGGUACCACGGCGGCACCACCGCCCCAGUACGGCCGAUGCCGGCCGCCCCGGCGGUGCGGCCGCGCUAGCACGAGCAGCCCCGUGGGCCCUGCGGGAGCCCUUGCAAGGGCGCCGCCAGGCCACCCGACGGCGCCACCGCUCCGGCACGGGCCAAGCCAGUGGCCGUAGCACGGGCGCCCCCCUGCGCGCCGGCCUCAACGACCGGCCCAGCCUGGUCGUGUCUUCCUCUUCCCCGGCUACUGCUCCGCUCGGCAGGUGGCCUUUGCCAAGGCGCGUCACCUCAGCGACCGGAUCUGGUGAGUGGCCGCUGCGGCAGCAUGUGCUACCUCCCCUCUACACGCCGGUCGCAUCCCCCGCCUCCGUGGCUGCCGUUUUCGCCGUUGGUCUUCCUCUUCACCUCCGCCAACCCCCGUGCUUUGCGUUUUCAAUCCCCCUACGAACCGUAAGGCCCCAGCAAGCUAGGCUUAGCGGUGCCGAGGGAGGUCUAGCAGUUCCAUCUCCACCAUGGAUUCUUUGAUCAGGACUAAUAUUUUUCAGCACACGGCUAAAUAGAGUUAAGGCUUCAACAGUCUUCUCUCCUUUCUUGAUUGCUGUCCACAUCUUCUUUGCCUUCCAUUCCAUAAGACAUGGAGUACUAUCACUUUCAUGGUGUUUUUUUUGGCAGAAUCUGUGUUCCAAUCACCCACGAACUGCACUUCGCAGGUCAGGUAGCACAGAAAAAAACAGAGAGGCAGCAUAGGACCAGAAGAGAAUUGAAAACUGAAGCCCAUGUUGAGAUCAUUGCCACAAUUGGGUGGCACUCCAUGUAGCAGACUAUCAACCUUGGAGCAAAACAUUAUGCCUGAACACCACAUAGUACCAGGAGAGGCACUGCAGUUGAGAUCAAUAUGGUGGAUCUGUUGAUUACGUCAGCUGUAUUCUUCUCUAUUCUUUUCGAAUGGUUGGAUUGUGGAUGUGUUGUUGCAAAUGCAUGUAUUUUAUUGGUGCCCUUUGUGUUGUUUCCUCCUGUUAAGAUUCGAUAAGCACUUCCUUGGCUAAAUCAUCUUGCUCUCCCCCCAUUGUGGUUGGACUGACAACCUUCUUAGGAAUUAGAGAAACAUGGACCUUUGGUGUAUACGUUCCUGCUAAUAUUGAGAGGAGAGAUCCAAAUGUUUCUUCAUCUACCUUUGUUGCUUGGAAUGUUUGGCAUCAUCAUAUAUUUGUAAAUUAGCUUUCGACACAUAUCCAGUUUCUUAGAUCUUAAAACAUUUCAUAUCAGGUUGCUUAUUUCAUUGGGUGAAUAGGGGAAGAAACAGCUGCUCUAAUGGUCUACAUUUCUAUGUGCAUGUCCUGAUUAGAGGCCUGCACAAAGUUUCUCAUGAACUGUGAUUCAUUGCAACUUCUAUGAGACCUACCUCAGCGACUCA